GUGCCAACAAUUUUCAAUAAUCUAAUAAAAUUAUGCACUAAUUUUCAGCAAUAAAAUAUGGAAGAAAGAAAGGUGCAAGCCAACUUAUUUUUAGAAAUUAUGUGUCUCUUUGUCUCUCUCUCUCUAAAAUUACAGCAGUAACUCUAUAUCUUUCUCUCUUUAAAAUUAAGCAAUAAAUUUGAUCUUUAAUUUAAUUUAAUUUAAUUUUAUUAUUAUAAUAGUAAAAAAUUAGAUAGAGAAUUACCACUUCACUUUGGCCAAGUGGUUAAGGUGCGUGGUUGCUAUGUGCACGGGGUUUCCAAAAAAAAAAAGCGCGAACUCUUUUUGAGUUAAAGAAGAGCAAAGAAAAAGGGCUUGAAAUUCACUGAAACUUAAUAAAUUUCAU
rnacentral:lncRNA from 1 species